GAUGAAGAACGCAGUGAAAUGCGAUAAGUAAUGUGAAUUGCAGAAUUCAGUGAAUCAUCGAAUCUUUGAACGCACAUUGCGCCCCCUGGUAUUCCGGGGGGCAUGCCUGUUCGAGCGUCAUUAUAACCACUCAAGCUCUCGCUUGGUAUUGGGGCUCGCGGUUCCGCGGCCCCUAAAAUCAGUGGCGGUGCCUGUCGGCUCUACGCGUAGUAAUACUCCUCGCGAUUGAGUCCGGUAGGUCUACUUGCCAGCAACCCCCAAUUUUUACAGGUUGACCUCGGAUCAGGUAGGGAUACCCGCUGAACUUAAGCAUAUCAAUAAGCGGAGGA
rnacentral:misc_RNA from 1 species